rnacentral:rRNA from 1 species
CGGCGAGUGAAGCGGCAACAGCUCAAAUUUGAAAUCUGGCCCCAGGCCCGAGUUGUAAUUUGCAGAGGAUGCUUUUGGCGCGGUGCCUUCCGAGUUCCCUGGAACGGGACGCCAUAGAGGGUGAGAGCCCCGUACGGUUGGACACCAAGCCUUUGUAAAGCUCCUUCGACGAGUCGAGUAGUUUGGGAAUGCUGCUCUAAAUGGGAGGUACAUUUCUUCUAAAGCUAAAUAUUGGCCAGAGACCGAUAGCGCACAAGUAGAGUGAUCGAAAGAUGAAAAGCACUUUGAAAAGAGGGUUAAACAGCACGUGAAAUUGUUAAAAGGGAAGCGCUUGUGACCAGACUUGCGUCCGGUGAAUCACCCAGCUCUCGCGGCUGGGGCACUUCGCCGGCACAGGCCAGCAUCAGCUUGCCGUCGGGGACAAAAGCUUCAGGAACGUAGCUCCUCUCGGGGAGUGUUAUAGCCUGUUGUAUAAUACCCUUCGGCGGGCUGAGGUACGCGCUCCGCAAGGAUGCUGGCGUAAUGGUCAUCAGCGACCCGUCUUGAAACACGGACCAAGGAGUCAACCUUAUGUG